rnacentral:rRNA from 1 species
GACGAACGCUGGCGGCGUGCUUAACACAUGCAAGUCGAACGGAAAGGCCCUGCUUGCAGGGUACUCGAGUGGCGAACGGGUGAGUAACACGUGGGUGAUCUGCCCUGCACUUCGGGAUAAGCCUGGGAAACUGGGUCUAAUACCGGAUAGGAGCCAUUUUGAGCGUGAUGGUUGGAAAGUUUUUUCGGUGUAGGAUGAGCUCGCGGCCUAUCAGCUUGUUGGUGGGGUAAUGGCCUACCAAGGCGGCGACGGGUAGCCGGCCUGAGAGGGUGGACGGCCACAUUGGGACUGAGAUACGGCCCAGACACCUACGGGAGGCAGCAGUGGGGAAUAUUGCACAAUGGGCGCAAGCCUGAUGCAGCGACGCCGCGUGGGGGAUGACGGCCUUCGGGUUGUAAACUCCUUUCGCUAGGGACGAAGCUUUUUGUGACGGUACCUAGAUAAGAAGCACCGGCUAACUACGUG